GGGGAUAUAGCUCAGUUGGUAGAGUGCUUGCCUCACAUGCACGAGGUCCUUGAGUUCAAUCCCUAGCACCACCA
rnacentral:tRNA from 1 species